rnacentral:tRNA from 1 species
GUUUUAAUAAUUUAAAUAAUAAAAAUAUUAGUCUUGUAAAUUAAAAUUAGGAUUUCCUUUAAAACU